GCGGUCGUGGCGGAAUUGGUAGACGCGCAGCGUUGAGGUCGCUGUGGCAGAAAUGCUGUGGAAGUUCGAGUCUUCUCGACCGCACCA
rnacentral:tRNA from 12 species